rnacentral:rRNA from 1 species
GAUGAACGCUGGCGGCGUGCCUAAUACAUGCAAGUCGAGCGAACAGACGAGGAGCUUGCUCCUCUGACGUUAGCGGCUGACGGGCGAGUAACACGUGGAUAACCUACCUAUAAGUCUGGGAUAAUUUCGUGAAACCGGAUCUACUACCGCAGAAUAUAUUGAACCGCAUGGUUCAAUAGUGAAAGACGGUUUUGCUGUCACUUUUAGAUGGAUCCGCGCCGCAUUAGCUAGUUGGUAAGGUAACGGCUUACCAAGGCAACGAUGCGUAGCCGACCUGAGAGGGUGAUCGGCCACACUGGAACUGAGACACGGUCCAGACUCCUACGGGAGGCAGCAGUAGGGAAUCUUACGCAAUGGGCGAAAGCCUGACGGAGCAACGCCGCGUGAGUGAUGAAGGUCUUCGGAUCGUAAAACUCUGUUAUUAGGGAAGAAAAAAAGUGUAAGUAACUAUGCACGUUUUGACGGUACCUAAUGAAAAAGCAACGGCUAACUACGUG